rnacentral:rRNA from 1 species
UACGUAGGGGGCAAGCGUUGUCCGGAAUCAUUGGGCGUAAAGAGCGUGUAGGCGGCCCGGUAAGUCCGCUGUGAAAGUCCAGGGCUCAACCCUGGAAUGCCGGUGGAAACUGUCGGGCUAGAGUCCGGAAGAGGCGAGUGGAAUUCCUGGUGUAGCGGUGAAAUGCGCAUAUAUCAGGAAGAACACCAAUGGCGAAGGCAGCUCUCUGGGACGGUACUGACGCUGAGACGCGAAAGCGUGGGGAGCGAACAGG